AGGCGAGCCCGGCGGCGGGGCGAGCUCGGGCGUCCCCGCCUGGCGCUCGCCCGCGCUGCAUGGCGCUGCAGCUCAGCCUGCCUUGCAAGAGGGAGCUCGAGUCCCGCUCUUGAGCUCGCAGCGCCUCUCACUCCGCAACGCGCACAGCGAGCAGGCGGUCGGCAGGGGCGGACGGACGUCCGCGCGGACCGGGCGCCCCGCAGGACGGACACGGAGUUAAUGAAGUACUGCUUUCAGAAAAGGAAGUGAUGGAAAUUGGAAGAGGCUAAGAUCCCUAUCUUUAUCUGCACCAAUGAAAAUCCGUAUUUCAUUUGAAAAAAAUAAAACCGUCUUCCAAUCGUGCAGGAAGUAUGCAGCAACCGCAUGUGCCUCCAUUUCUUAACCACUCAACAGGCUGGGUCUCCAAUGCCUCUGGUUUUCUUGAAUUAGAAAUGAAUUUUCCCUUUUCUGGGUUUCGCUUCUUUUCAGAAUGUACCUCAAAAUGUCCUAGCCCAGGUUGGAAAAGGAAAUCCAUUUUACACAGUAGAAAUUACAAUAUCUUUCAUAUUGCAACCAAGGGGCAAUCAGGUUCAUUAUUUUGUGUGAUUUAUCGCAAAUUGCAACCACCGGUAUUUUGGUGAAAUUGUAAAGCCUAAUUGGGAUUAUUGGAUGGAAAGCCCAGCCAACAGAAUAUUGAUCCCUGAACUCAAAGCAAUGAGUAAGCUGCUUUGGCUCAGUUAUGCUUAUAUAUAUUUUUUCCCCUCAAACAU